GGAAAAGAAACUAACAAGGAUUCCCCUAGUAACGGCGAGUGAAGCGGGAAAAGCUCAAAUUUGUAAUCUGGCGCCUUCGGCGUCCGAGUUGUAAUCUCGAGAAGUAUUUUCCGCGCUGGACCGCACAUAAGUCUGUUGGAAUACAGCGUCAUAGUGGUGAGAACCCCGUAUAUGGUGCGGAUGCCCAGUGCUUUGUGAUAUACUUUCGAAGAGUCGAGUUGUUUGGGAAUGCAGCUCAAAUUGGGUGGUAAAUUCCAUCUAAAGCUAAAUAUUGGCGAGAGACCGAUAGCGAACAAGUACCGUGAGGGAAAGAUGAAAAGCACUUUGGAAAGAGAGUUAACAGUACGUGAAAUUGUUGGAAGGGAAACGCUUGAAGUCAGACUUGCAUUUUGGAGUUCAGCCGCAAGGUGUAUUCUUCAAUUCGCAGGCCAGCAUCAGUUUUCGGGGGUGGAAAAUCGCGGUUUGAAGGUAGCAGUCUUGGCUGUGUUAUAGCUUUCCGCUGGAUUCACUUUUGGGGACUGAGGAACGCAGUACGCUUUUUUGCAAGAUUCUAGAGUCUUUCGUACUUAGGAUGCUGGUGGAAUGGCUUUAAACGACCCGUCUUGAAACACGGACCAA
rnacentral:rRNA from 1 species